UUUGUGAUAACCAGGUCACUUCUAAAUAGCGCUAUACAGCUCAGUGGACCUUACAUGCUAAAAUAAAAACUAGUUUUAUUUGAGUUCAUGUCACUGAAAAUUGAGGUCUUCCCAUUUUUUUCCAAGGGAUAUUUAUCCCUCACUUCCAUGCUCAUCAGACAAGUUGCAUAUGGGAACCCAUAUUGCAGUUCUAACCACGUGGUCUGUCAAUUGGUUUACCACAGUCUAUUUAUCUUCAAAUCAAGAUAGUGCUAUUUCCCCACUCGAGGGUAAAAAUGUACAAGCCGAUCAGAACAUUUUAACUUGUUUACCUUUAUGGAAUUUGAGAUAUUUUUUUUGGAUUUGUUAAUUAAGUCACGUAAUUUGAUUCUGCUCAUUGCAAUAAACAAGAACCAUUUCAUAUUUAGAUUAAAACAAAUAUAAGCUUCAUACAUUUUCUGGAAACAAUGGACAGAAAAUGUUUGCCAUAUUGAAAUAAUGGAACCUAGUCUGCAAUGUGUUUUGAAACGUGCAGCUAAUACACAUGUUGAUGUGUUUUAGGCAGCUAUAUACCAUUUUUUAUGCUGAAGUUUGUAAACUGCAGCUUAUAUGUGAAAAGUAAUCGUGACGCAAAGUCUAUAAUGUAAAAAAAAAAUUCAACACAGCUCACACUGCAAAUUUGUCUUGUAACUAUAUUAUCCUGCUGCUAACUAAAUAUUCACUUCAAAACGAUUUUAAUGCAGCUUACAGCUUUGUUUUUUUCUCAAUAUAUUGA